rnacentral:lncRNA from 1 species
AUUCAAAUGCGGAAGAGAAAUUCCCAGGCAUGUUGUGCAUAGUAGUUUCAUUAGUUGUACUUCCUGGAACUCUAGAUGUGCUAUGCUUCAACUCUUGUGGUCUGAGGUCUAACGGGGCAGGCAAAGAUUGAGCCUGAUGAGGAGGGGGCAUCUGCCCCCGACUUUUUUCUCUAAUCUCAACGGCAGCAUGGCUUGAAUGUGAAGAGCUAACAGCUCUGGUAGGACCCUGAGAUGACAAGAGAUGGGUUUUGACAGAGAUCUGCGACGGAGCAGGCAAAGAUUGAGCCUGAUGCGGACGGGGCAUCUGCCCCUGACUUUUUUCUCUAAUCUCAACGGCAGCAUGGCUUGAAUGUGAAGAGGCAAGACCUCUGGCAGGACCCUGAGAUGACAAGAGAUGGGUUUUGACAGAGAUCUGCUGCGAUGGAGGACCAAGUUGAAGACCAAAACCUUGAGAGGCAGAAGACUGAUUUCGCCGGAGGUGUCCAGCAGACCCAUCAGCAUUUUCGGAGUCAGGCACCUCAGAUGAUGCUUUCUGG